UCAGUGGCAGAGGUGCUGCCAACCACCUUCAGGGCCCUUGGCUGGGGCUGGGCUUGGUGUCCCAGGAAGCAGAGUGCUUCCACACAGUGAGGCCAGUGUGGGCCUCUAGUCUCCCUGACGGUGGGGGAGGGACUGGGAAGGUUCCAGUGACUCCGUCUGACUUAGGGUUGAGUGGCUUAGGACACAUCUGUAAAGCAGGGUUCAGCAUGGCUGUCCUGUUCCCUGAACCAGGGGCAGAGGGAGAAUCCCAAGACGCUGAAUGUUGUCAUCAUGUCCAAACACUGCUGUUGGAAGUCCCCCAACACAGUUGGGGUGCUGCUCUGAGAGCCACAAGUCACUGCCAGGUGGAGUGGCAGAGGCGGAGGAGGCUCCCCAGGGGCAAAGGCCAGGGCAGGAAGAAGCGGAGGAGCAAGGGACUUAGUGCCAGGGAGGGUGGCCAGCAGCACGGGGACAGUUUCAGUGAAUGGUAGCAAAGUCCAGGAUCACGGGAUCUCUUGGCUUCCACAUAAGCCGUCUUCCAUCUGAAGCCACGUGGACAGGCGCUGGCCUCUCAGUGGGUCUGGAAAGAGGCGCAAGUGCCUGUGGGUGGGUCCCCUGGCACCUCUUGAACUGGGCAGUCCCGCCCUGCCUCCCAGGGGCUUGGGUGUGUUUUGCGGAGAGGCAGAAGGAGCUUCCAACUUGAAGAGACUGGCGCCUGCCAGCCGGGUGAACUUUGUUCGUUAAAGCCCUGCUCUGCCGCCAGCUCCCCACGCUGCCUUUGGGCACAGGCCGUGACCCCUGGAGGAUGCUCGUCAGUGCCCUGCUACGCUGUGAGAGACUGCCCUUCCCGCGCCUGGCCUGGGCCUGGGCCUCCUCCUGGCCGACUCCCGGGAGACCCAGAGGAAGAGGCCUCCUGCACACGCCCCCCACAGCCCCCUCGGACAGGACUGCCCCUGUGUUUACCCGUGCCCUGGCCUUUGGGGACAGGCUUGCCCUGGUGGAUCAGCAUGGCCACCACACCUACAGGGACCUUUAUUACCGCAGCCUCCGCCUGUCUCGGGAGAUCUGCAGGCUCUGUAACUGUGUGGAUGGGGACCUCCGGGAGGAGAGGGUGUCCUUCCUGUGCGCCAAUGACGUCUCCUAUGUCAUUGCCCAGUGGGCCUCGUGGAUGAGUGGCGGCAUCGCGGUCCCCCUGUUCCGGAAGCACCCGGAGGCCCAGCUGGAGUACUUCAUCCGGGACUCACGGAGCUCUGUGGUUGUGGCCGGCCAGGAGUACGUGGAGCUGCUGCGCCCAGUGGUCAGACGGCUGGGGGUCCCGCUCCUGCCUCUCUCACCUGCCAUCUACCUUGAGGCAGCAGAGAAGCCGGCAGAGGGGCAGGGGCAGGGGCAGCAGUGGGAGUGGGAGUGGCGAGACCGGGGCGCCAUGAUCUUCUACACCAGCGGGACCACAGGGAGGCCCAAGGGCGCUCUGAGCACCCACCGCAACAUAGCAGCCGUGGUUACUGGGCUGGUCCACGCUUGGGCAUGGACCAGAGACGAUGUGAUCCUCCACGUCCUCCCUCUGCACCAUGUCCAUGGCGUGGUCAACAAGCUGCUCUGUCCACUCUGGGUGGGAGCCACCUGCGUCAUGCUGCCUGAAUUCAGUGCUCAGCAGGUCUGGGAGAAGUUCUUGAGCUCUGAGACUCCCCGGAUUAACAUGUUUAUGGCGGUGCCCACGAUAUACGCCAAGCUGCUGGGAUACUAUGACCAGCACUUCACCCAGCCUCACGUCCGGGACUUUGUGCGUGCCAUUUGUGAAGAAAACAUCAGGCUGAUGGUAUCAGGCUCGGCUGCCCUGCCCACCCCUCUGCUAGAGCAGUGGAAGCACGCCACUGGCCACACGCUGCUGGAGCGCUACGGCAUGACUGAGAUCGGCAUGGCCCUGUCCAACCCGCUGGCCGAAACUCGCCUGCCAGGUUCUGUGGGGAGCCCGCUGCCCGGAGUGGAAGUGCGCAUCGUCUCUGAGGGCCUGCAGAAGGAGGGCUGCCCCUACGCCGUCCACGCGGAGGGAGAUGAGAGAGGGACAAAGGACAUGGACAGUGCAGCUGGCCCAGGCACACCCUGCUCCCCUGAGGCUCCCUGGGGCCCAAGGGCGUCACCAUGGCCUGCUAAGCAGCCCAGGACAGCACAGGGACCCAUUCAGAAAGGUGCAACUGGAGGGUACUGUCACUGUCCCAGAGCCCCACAGCCUCGGGUGCCCUUGCUGCUGAAUGAGGGUGGCCCAGUUUCCGGUUCACUCUGCAGUUGGCAGGGGCAGCCCGGGAGGGCCGUCAUCUCAUGUCAGCAAGGGUUAAGAGCUAAACACCCACCCGUCGCAAGGACCUCAGGUCAAGAAAGCUGGGACCCCCAGGACGUGGAAUUCCGGGCUGGUGACAGGCUGGGUGUGGCGUCCACUGACCUGUCGCCUGAGCAGGGUUCCUGUCCCUGUGCCCGGGGCUGGCAGCCUCGGCUCUGCGUGACUGCUCGCCUGCAGAGGCAGCCAGGUAGGUGCGUGUGGGCGUGGCCUCAGUGUGGCAGCCCGUCCUUGGUGGGCUUGGCCACACCUUGGUUUCUGAGCUUGCUGGGGACGGUCACUGGCGCACUGUCCCGCAAGUGGGUGAGAGCUGGUGGCCCAAGAGUGAGCUGAGCAUCAGGAAGACUGGAGCCAGCCGUGCCUCUCGCCUGCCUGGGGCUGCCUGGGGGCCUCGCUGAGCUCUGUCCUCUGUGUCCUCCCUCCUGGCCUCUCAGGGGCUCCUGGCUCCAUGGUCUACCCAGUCCUGAAACCCGCCUGUUUCCACUGCUCUGGGCCGCCUGCCUUUCGCCUUCUGGCCUCGGGUUGGAGCCCGACUGCCCUCUGCUGGGCCUCGGCUGUGCUGAGCCAGGGAUGUUGGCCACGCCUGGGUCUAGUGUGUAAACUCCCCAGUGCCCGCCUCCCCUGGCACCCUGCUCACACCCAGGUCUCAGGCCACCUUGCUUGGCUGGUCCCGCCCCCUGCAGCAAGGGGCUGGGCUUGGACACUGGCUCAGGGCACGUCUCUCAGGAAUGUCCCAGCAGGGCAGUGGUGGUGAGGUAGGUACCUGCACCGUCCGGCCUCCCAGGUGUCCUCAGUGCUGGGCUCAGCCUCAGGGACACCUAUUGUGCAGGAAGUGGCAGAAACAUUGCCAAAGAAAGGGGUGGGGCAAGGGCAGGUGGGCCGUGGUAGCAGCCACUCCCCAGCAGCUCCCAGGCCCGGCUCUGCCGGCGGCCUUCCCUGAGGCGCUGCAGGCAGAAAGGAGCACAGCCCUGCCCCCAGGAUGCUGGACAGCCAGAGGCCACACGGCCACAGACAGGCCUGGCCACAGACAGGCCUGCGAGGUGCCUGCGAGGGGACAGGGGCGUGCGAUGGCGAGGGAGCUCAGCAGACACUGAGGGACAGGCCGCGAUCCAGAGGCAGCAUCUUCUAGAACCUUCUAGGCCAGGGCCACCUCUGCUGGAGGCUGAGCCCUUCGUGGGGAGCACAGCCAGACGGCUGCUUCCUCCCUGCCUGCAGGAGACACUCCAGACACGGGGCCCAGGCUGCUCUGGGGUUCCUGCCAUGGCUGUGCAGCGCAUGCCUCAGGCAGGGCAGGGUGGGGUGGCACUGCCCAGGCUGAGGGCCUCUCUGCCGUGUCCCAUGGGAAGGCCUGCCCGCCCCCUCUCGCUCAGCCGCCUAACCCAGCCAGACGUGGUGCCCCACUCACCACACCCAGGCCGGGGCUCCCCCGCUCAACUGUGCAGCUGGAUCAGCACUGUCAGGACUUGUGCCCUUUGCCUGGUGAGCUGUGUGGCUUGUGGCCUCCCUUCCCCAGGACUUCCCUCCCUGUGGCCUCCCCUGUGGGCUCCCUUCUCUGUGGCCUCCCUUCCCUGAGGCUGGUCCCACUGGAAUCGGCUGCCUCUGGCUGUCUUCAGGACGGCUCUGGAGCCUGCCUCCCGGCUCUGGGCAGGUGGUCACGGCCCCCGAAUGGCAGGAGGGUGCUGUGCUUUUCAGUGCAAAAGCCUCGCAGGGUGUGUCCCGCUGCCUGCCUCAGCCAGGCCUACGCAGGCUGCGCGUCCUCCUCGCCUCCCAGGUGGGCCGCCGGCCUCUGCCUUCUGUUCUGUCAUGGGGAGCCUGGCCUGGGGUCAAGUACAGGGCUUGGGCUUCUUCCAUGUGUGUGCACAGGACACACAUGUUCUCUGGUCUUGAGCCGCGUGUGUGUUUUCACCCGACUUAAGACCCGAAUGCUGUUGCUUGGGAGCUGAGUCUCCGAGAACAGAUUUACUGUCAGGGCUUGUCUUCACUCCUCCAUGAUGGGCAGCGCCCACUGCACCCGGCCUUCGGGCACAUGGCAGGGAGGAGAGGCCUGAGGAGCCGUUGCAGGCAGACAGCAGUCACAAACAGGUGGCCUGCGUCUGCCAGGUCCACAGACAGGACGGUGGACAAUGGUGGGCCUGCCCAGGGACGCUGGCCAGUGGGGCAUGCACAGCCUACCCCGCCCUCUAAAGGUCACUCCGCCUUUGUGAGUGGUCGUGGCAACUGGGGGCUGUGUGGUCUUUGUGCUCAGGCCCCAGGGCCCUUCCUAGGAUGCCAGGCCCUGAUGACCUCUGCCCUCUGCUCUUGACCUGACCCACACAUGCCACCCACCUGUGCCAGCAGUGGCCACUGUGGAGACAGGACAUGGCCCCGGGCCAUGCCAAGGAGCAGCCUCACCAUGGUGCUGAUGCCCAGAGGGUCGAAGCCCACUGGGGCUCUGUGUGGAGCCCACCAGGAAGGAGCAGCAUGGCCUGUGGUGCCCGGGAGCAGCCCUCGUAGAGAGACCUCCUGGUGCCUAGAGCACCCAGCACUCGGGGCUCCAGAGUCCCCGCCGGUUUCAAAUCAAGGCCCCUCACAGAUUCUGCAAGUGCCUAUUGAUUGCAACAGUGCUCGGCAGUGGACAUCAGGCAGUGGACACUGGGGCAGCAGGUGUCCCCGGGGUUUGAAGAGAAGGAAGGGGAGCUGCUGGUCAGGGGACCCUCUGUGUUCCGAGAAUACUGGGACAAACCAGAAGAGACAAGAAGUGCGUUCACCUCGGACGGCUGGUUUAAGAC